AUACGGAGGGUGCAAGCGUUAUCCGGAAUCACUGGGUUUAAAGGGUGCGUAGGCGGUUUUAUAAGUCAGGGGUGAAAGCAUGCAGCUUAACUGUAUAAUUGCCUUUGAUACUGUAAGACUUGAAUAAGGUUGAGGUUGGCGGAAUGUGACAUGUAGCGGUGAAAUGCUUAGAUAUGUCAUAGAACACCGAUUGCGAAGGCAGCUGACUGGGCCUUUAUUGACGCUGAGGCACGAAAGCGUGGGGAGCGAACAGGAUUAGAUACCCUGGUAGUCCACGCCCUAAACGAUGUAUACUCGUUGUUUGCAUCUUGAAUGUGAGCAACCAAGCGAAAGCGUUAAGUAUACCACCUGGGGAGUACGCCCGCAAGGGUGAA
rnacentral:rRNA from 1 species